rnacentral:rRNA from 1 species
GAUGAACGCUGGCGGCGUGCCUAAUACAUGCAAGUCGAGCGAACAGACGAGGAGCUUGCUCCUCUGACGUUAGCGGCGGACGGGUGAGUAACACGUGGAUAACCUACCUAUAAGACUGGGAUAACUUCGGGAAACCGGAGCUAAUACCGGAUAAUAUAUUGAACCGCAUGGUUCAAUAGUGAAAGACGGUUUUGCUGUCACUUAUAGAUGGAUCCGCGCCGCAUUAGCUAGUUGGUAAGGUAACGGCUUACCAAGGCAACGAUGCGUAGCCGACCUGAGAGGGUGAUCGGCCACACUGGAACUGAGACACGGUCCAUACGCCUACGGGAGGCAGCAGUAGGGAAUCUUCCGCAAUGGGCGAAAGCUUGACGGAGCAACGCCGCGUGAGUGAUGAAGGUCUUCGGAUCGUAAAACUCUGUUAUUAGUGAAGAACAAAUGUGUAAGUAACUAUGCACGUCUUGACGGUACCUAAUCAGAAAGCCACGGCUAACUACGUG